GUCACAUUCAUUCAUUCAUUGUGAAACAGGAAGAAGCGUCGAUAAGAAGAUAAUUCGUAUUGUUUGCUAACCGCUAAAAAGAAGAAGUUGUUUGCCGUGUGGUCCAAGCCUGAUGCAGGGCAGUUCUGCUGGGUUGAGGGGUCCCUGCUGCAGUUUUACCAGUAAAGAAAAUGACUCAUUACAAUUCACUUGGAGGACCACAUAAGCCAUGCAAUGGUGCAUGGAGGAGCACCAAGAGGACAUAAAGUGGAAGUUACCAAAGGUCCAUCGUGGUGCUGGAAACAGAGUCACUGUGAGUUAUUCUGUGGGGUGGUGAAAGGUCCUGCCUUUCUACAGAUGGACAGUAAAAAUCAACAGAAUGCCAUCAAAGACUACCGGGGGUGGGGGAAUCGGGAUGAAGCAAGAGAGGUCUUUUUAUUCAUCUUUGAGUAUCUGGAGGAGCUGGACACAUUCAUAUCAAAUUGUCUUGAUGAACAAGGCCUCAUGCCAUGUCCUGUGAAUAAUCUUUCAGAGUAAGGAAUCUCUCUGUGUAGCCUAUGUAUGUAUGUAUGUGUACUGCAUAACAAGAACUGUUUGUCUGAUCAUUCAACUGCUCAGACUUAUGAUAUUUGGAACAUAUAUUUUGUUAAACACAAUCAGUCAAAAGUUUUUGAACAGUAAGAUUUUUAAUGUUUUUUUUUUUUUAAGAAGUCUCUUCUGCCCACCAGUCCUGGAUUUAUUUGAUCCAAAGUAUAGCAAAAACAGUAACAUUUUAAAAUAUUUUUACGAUUUAAUAUAGCUCUUUUUCUAUUUGAAAGAGUUUUCUAUAUUUCUAUUAAAAUGUAAUUAAUUCCAUUAAUUUCAAAUAUGACAUUUAGCAUUA